rnacentral:rRNA from 1 species
AUUGAACGCUGGCGGCAUGCCUUACACAUGCAAGUCGAACGGCAGCACGGGUGCUUGCACCUGGUGGCGAGUGGCGAACGGGUGAGUAAUACAUCGGAACGUACCUUAUCGUGGGGGAUAACGCAGCGAAAGCUGUGCUAAUACCGCAUACGCCCUGCGGGGGAAAGCGGGGGAUCGCAAGACCUCGCGCGAUUAGAGCGGCCGAUGCCUGAUUAGCUUGUGGGUGGGGGAAAAGCCCACCAAGGCGACGAUCAGUAGCUGGUCUGAGAGGACGAUCAGCCACGCUGGGACUGAGACACGGCCCAGACUCCUACGGGAGGCAGCAGUGGGGAAUUUUGGACAAUGGGGGCAACCCUGAUCCAGCAAUGCCGCGUGAGUGAAGAAGGCCUUCGGGUUGUAAAGCUCUUUUGUCAGGGAAGAAACACCGGCUCUAACACAGUCCGGGAAUGACGGUACCUGAAGAAUAAGCACCGGCUAACUACGUGCCAGCCGCCGCUGUAA